UUGGAGGGCAAGUCUGGUGCCAGCAGCCGCGGUAAUUCCAGCUCCAAUAGCGUAUAUUAAAGUUGUUGCAGUUAAAAAGCUCGUAGUUGAAUUUCGGGAUCGACGGGUCGGUCGCGCCUCUGGUGUGUACUGGCCCUGUCGGUUUCUCCCUUCUGACGAACCACGAUGUCAUUAAUUUGGUGUCGUGGGAAAUCAGGACUGUUACUUUGAAAAAAUUAGAGUGUUUAAAGCAGGCAUUCGCUUGAAUACAUUAGCAUGGAAUAAUGAAAUAGGACGUUUGAUCUUAUUUUGUUGGUUUCUAAGAUCGACGUAAUGAUUAAUAGGGAUAGUUGGGGGCAUUAGUAUUCAAUUGUCAGAGGUGAAAUUCUUGGAUUUAUUGAAGACUAACUACUGCGAAAGCAUUUGCCAAGGAUGUUUUCAUUAAUCAAGAACGAAAGUUAGGGGAUCGAAGACGAUCAGAUACCGUCGUAGUCUUAACCAUAAACUAUGCCGACUAGGGAUCGGAUGAUGUUAUUUUUAAUGACUCAUUCGGCGCCUUACGGGAAAC
rnacentral:rRNA from 1 species